CCUACGGGAGGCUGCAGUGAGGAAUAUUGGUCAAUGGGCGAGAGCCUGAACCAGCCAAGUCGCGUGAGGGAGUACUGCCCUAUGGGUUGUAAACCUCUUUUGUCGGGGAGCAAAAGCCGGACGUGUCCGGCUGUGAGAGUACCCGAAGAAAAAGCAUCGGCUAACUCCGUGCCAGCAGCCGCGGUAAUACGGAGGAUGCGAGCGUUAUCAGGAUGUAUUGGGUUUAAAGGGUGCGCAGGCGGAUUUUUAAGUCAGCGGUAAAAUCGUGGGGCUCAACCCCAUCCAGCCGUUGAAACUGGGGAUCUAGAGUGUGCGAGAGGUAUGCGGAAUGCGUGGUGUAGCGGUGAAAUGCAUAGAUAUCACGCAGAACCCCGAUUGCGAAGGCAGCAUACCGGUGCACAACUGACGCUCAGGCACGAAAGCGUGGGUAUCGAACAGGAUUAGAUACCCCUGUAGUC
rnacentral:rRNA from 1 species